rnacentral:rRNA from 1 species
AUUGAACGCUGGCGGCAGGCCUAACACAUGCAAGUCGAGCGAGCGGCGGACGGGUGAGUAAUGUAUGGGGACUGCCCGAUAGAGGGGGAUAACUACUGAAAACGGUGGCUAAUACCGAAUACUAUGGGAUAACCCAAAUGGGAUUAGCUAGUAGGUGGGGUAAAGGCUCACCGAGGCGACGAUCUCUAGCUGGGCUGAGAGGAUGAUCAGCCACACUGGAACUGGUACACGGCCCAGACUCCUACGGAGGCAGCGUGGGGGAAAUUUGCACAAUGGGCGCAGUCCUGAUGCAGCCAUGCCGCGUGUAUGAAGAAGGCCUUAGGGUUGUAAAGUACUUUCAGCGGGGAGGCUUUACCCGCAGAAGAAGCACCGGCUAACUCCGUGCCAGCCGCCGCGGUAAUAC